rnacentral:rRNA from 1 species
UACGGGGGGAGCAAGCGUUGUUCGGAUUUACUGGGCGUAAAGGGCGCGUAGGCGGUAGCACAAGUCAGUUGUGAAAUCUCCGGGCUUAACUCGGAAAGGUCAACUGAUACUGUGCGACUAGAGUGCAGAAGGGGCAACUGGAAUUCCCGGUGUAGCGGUGAAAUGCGUAGAUAUCGAGAGGAACACCUGCGGCGAAGGCGGGUUGCUGGGCUGACACUGACGCUGAGGCGCGAGAGCGUGGGGAGCGAACAGG